AUUGAACGCUGGCGGAAUGCUUUACACAUGCAAGUCGAACGGCAGCACGGGAGCAAUCCUGGUGGCGAGUGGCGAACGGGUGAGUAAUGUAUCGGAACGUGCCCAGUCGUGGGGGAUAACGUAGCGAAAGCUACGCUAAUACCGCAUACGAUCUAUGGAUGAAAGCGGGGGAUCGCAAGACCUCGCGCGAUUGGAGCGGCCGAUAUCAGAUUAGGUAGUUGGUGGGGUAAAGGCCCACCAAGCCUGCGAUCUGUAGCUGGUCUGAGAGGACGACCAGCCACACUGGAACUGAGACACGGUCCAGACUCCUACGGGAGGCAGCAGUGGGGAAUUUUGGACAAUGGGCGCAAGCCUGAUCCAGCAAUGCCGCGUGCAGGAUGAAGGCCUUCGGGUUGUAAACUGCUUUUGUACGGAACGAAACGGCUUUUUCUAAUACAGAGAGCUAAUGACGGUACCGUAAGAAUAAGCACCGGCUAACUACGUGCCAGCCGCCGCCGUAA
rnacentral:rRNA from 1 species